rnacentral:rRNA from 1 species
UACGUAGGGUCCGAGCGUUGUCCGGAUUUACUGGGCUUAAAGCGCGCGCAGGCGGCGGUGCUGGCCCGGCGUGAAAGCCCCCGGCUCAACCGGGGAGAGUCGUCGGGGACCGCACCGCUUGAGGGCGGUAGGGGAGACUGGAAUUCCUGGUGUAGCGGUGAAAUGCGCAGAUAUCAGGAGGAACACCGGUGGCGAAGGCGGGUCUCUGGGCCGAUACUGACGCUGAGGAGCGAAAGCGUGGGGAGCGAACAGG